GCGAUGGGGGAGUGAACUGCAAUCAAAGGCAUAGCUGGGGAAGAGGCAGGGACGUGCGCGGGUACAAGAAUCUGGGGUUUAAAAGUGAUUCUGCAGAUGGGAGACAAAAGGACCAGGUGCACCACAUGAACAGGAUCUUUUCCACUGAGAAAAAUGUAAGAGCGUGAUGACACACACCCGUCCUCGUCACCGAUGGACACAGGCCAAUUAAAAGAGCUCGGAGUCCACAGCAGCUGCCCUGCCAGGAGGGCACGCUCGCCCCGUUAAAGCGACUGUGUGCUCCAGGGACAGAGAGGCUUCCAAGUGGGGCAGAGCCUUGGUCCACACUGCAUCCCCCACUCACUGGGCAGCUGGAGCAGGCCACAAAGGGCGCCUGUGCUCUGCGGCGGUCGUCGGGGGUUCCUCUGCCUGCAGAGAAGAGCCAUCUGCAGAGCUCUGCCUGCCCGGCACAGGGCAGAGGUCUGGGGCCAGGAUCACGGUGGAUGCUUAGGAGGUGAGGGGCUGCCAUCCCCAAUGCCUGGGCGAGGCCUCCUGCUCCCGCCUCCAGGGUGAGGGCCCGGCUCUGCCCUGCUCCUCUCUGCUCCCGUUUGGCCUCAGUCCCCAUCAGGCGUUCCCUGCACACUCACCACAGGCCAGAACCGCACCAAGCCCUCAGGAGGGGAGGGGCUCCCAGUUGGUGGUAGACAGACCCACCACCAUACGCCAUGAUGCCUGCAAACUGAUGAGGCGAGACGUCUCAGGUGCUGGGCCAGCCCAGGCCAGCCCCAACAACGAAUGCACGAGGCAAGGCAGUCGCUCUCCAGCGGGGUGCCCUCCUGUCCUGCGCUGAAAUCGGCGCCUGUCCCCUCCCUGUUCCAAAGGCUGUCUGUAAAGUGGAGCCCACGGGGCUGCUCCAAGGCCAAUGGGCAGGACCACUAUCAGGGUCCUCUCGAGGCGGGGGAGUGGCAGGAGACCGAGUUCCCGAGCCCAGGCUGCUCUUGCAGGGAAGGAGGGCCUCUUCAACAUCACCAGUGGCUCCAAGCAGCCUGUGGGAGGCAUGGGCCCAGCUACCAAGCCUGAGCAGUUCUGGCCAGCAUCCCACCAGGGGUGGCUGAGCCGGGUCAGACCAAAGAAGCAUCACCAGAGUACAUUUGGGAGCUGGAACCGGGGACACGCAAGUGAGACCUCGCAAGAAAAAGGAAUCACUGGGUCUCAUUUCCCUCUCACAAACUCUUACCAGACUCAUUUUUGCAGCCACGACUCUUCACAACCACCCCCAGGUGCUGGUGUCUUCUGGGGCGUGUGCUGCCCCACGCUCUAGCCUCGUGAGCAGCCGUGCAUGGCCCCCGGGGCAAGAUGUACUGCCGGUGUGCUAGCCCUGUCCUCCCUCCAGGACUUCCCAGGCAGUUGCCAGCUGCAGGCAGAGGGCACAGAGUAGGUAGGACUGGUGCUUCUGGCCUGCAUGGCGGCCACCAGCCCUGUCCGGCUGCAACACACAGCAGCACAUGCAGGAGAAAGUGGUGGUCGCCACCCUCCUCUCCCAGGGUUCACACUGGGGGGUCAACAUGCCACAGGUCCCCAUGAGAUGCUGACCACAGGCCAGGAGAAAGGGGCUGGGCACAGAGGCCCAAGGGACCGCCUAGAGAAGGGCGGAGGGACCCCAGGCAGACGAUGGCCAAGUUGGGGCCCAGAAAAGCAGAGAAGCCUUUGGGCCUUGCUGCCGCAGUGGCCUUGAGGGCUCUGCCAGACCUCCUCCCCAGGCCUGGGUCCACGAUUCCGAUGAGAGACACCAGUGUAACCAGGAGUACAACCAGAACGCCUUUGCACCCUCCAGUGCCCUGUCCCGGGCCACUGUCCCCAGGCCCAGCUGUCCCGAGGUCAGGAGGUCAGGAGCAGGCCUGGCUCAGUCUCCCCAUCUGUGCCCAGGGGGACUGUUUGGCUGCAACUGGUCUUCGAGGUUAUUUUGAGCAUCAAAAAGAGCGACAGUCCCAAUUGUGACAACAUGGAUUUUCAAGGGAAGGAAGCAGCCCGGGCCUCCUGGAACCCCAGGGAGGAGACAGCUGUGACAAGGGGUGGGGGGGCAAGGAUGGAGAAGCACGACAGUGGUGGUCUUGGUGAUCGCGUGGCGACUGGGGAUGGCAUUCCAGGCCUGUUGAUGUCACACCCGUGGAACUCAAGGCAAUUCCAAAGGGGAGAUGGGUAAACAGGAAAUGAGAAGAUACGGUGGCCGAGCAGGAAGCUGAGAAAGGGGGCCUCAGCGUGUUGGUAGGCUCUGCGUCAGUGUCUGGAGAGGAAAGGGACUGGAAGCAGCCAGAAUUAUGGGAAACAAGCGUAAGCGAGGCCUCCAUGACCUCCUUCUGGGCCCAGUUGAUGCCAGCCCCAGUGCCAGGCCUCCUGCCAAGCCUGGCAGGGUGCAGUUGGGGGGUGGGGUUGUGUUGGGCACAGACCAUCUACCUGACCCCCAGACUGGGUCUUCUCCAUCCAGUCACUGGAGAGGCUCCUGGGCAGCAAGCAAGACACUGGUGGCUGCUCAUCUGCAGCCACAUGGCCAUCUGGCAUAGACAAUGUGUUCAAUAACUGAUGCUUUUUGGGACUGAGAGGAAAGAGAGGCACAUAGCCGCUGCGGAUGUGGGACAGACAGAGGAUGCCUGAAGGAUGUCAGAGCCCUGGGCAAUGAGGCCCUGCCAGAAAGGGGCCGUGGACACACUGUGGGCCUGGGGCUAUGUGUGUGGACACCAGUCCCACUUCUGGUCUCACCUGCCUCCCAGGAUGGUGUAGGACUAAGCCAGCCAUAAACUUGUUAUUCUGAGAUGGAGUUGUAAGAAAUAAAACAGAGAGAUCUCAUGUUCACCUGGUUUCCCCCGAUGGCAACAUCUUGCAAAACUAUAUGAUAAUAUUGCAAUCUCCCUCCAUUUCUAUAAUUUUGUCAUUUUAUGAAUGUCACGGUGAUGGAAUCCCACAGUGUGUAGCCUUCGGACAACGGCGUUUUUCACUCAGCGAAUUCUUGGGAGCUUCAUCCAGGUGGUGUGUGCCAGCAGUUCCUUUCUUCUUACUGCUGAGUAGGAUUCCCUGGAGUGGAUGGCCCGGGUUCACUGACCCAUUCACCCAUUGAAGGACUCUGAGUCGUUUCCAGUCUCCAGCUAUUACAAAUACAGCUGCUGUUAACAUUCACGUCCAGGUCUUUGUGUGGACGUAAGUCUUCAUUCAUCUGGAAUAAAAGAACUUGAAAUCAGCAAUUCAAAGAGACUUCUGCACCCCUAUGUUCAUUGCAGCACUAUUCACAAUAGCCAAGACGUGGAAGCAUCCCAAGGGCCUAUCGACUGAUGAUUGGAUAAAGAAGAUGUGGUAUAUAUACACAAUGGAAUACUACUCGGCCAUAAAAAAGGGUAAAAUCGUCCCAUUCACAAGAACAUGGAUGGACCUUGAGGGUUUAUUUUAAGCCAAAUAAGCCAGAUAGCGAAAAGACAGUCUCUGUAUGACUCCACUCAUAUGUGGAAGAUAAACAACACGUGGACAAAGAGAACAGAAUAGUGGUUACUGGGGGGAGGGGAGUGGGCACAAAGGGUAAAGGGGUGCACCUGUAAGAUGACUGACAAAUAAUAAUGUACAACUGAAAUUUCACAAGGUUGUAAACUAUCAUAACCUCAAUAGAAAAUAUAAUGGAAAAAAAAUAUGACCAAGAAUAAAAAACUCCGCAAAAACCUGAAACAUUUAUCUGGGAUAAAUCUGGGUCCUAUGGGUCCUAUUGGGUCCUAUGAUAGUUGUGUGUUUAGGUUUUUAAGAAACUUUCAAACUGUUUUCUAGAAUGGCUAGACCAUUUUACAUUCCCACCAGCGCUGAAUGAGUGAUCCAGUUUCUCUGCAUCCUCACAAGCAUUAGGUAUUGUCACUUUUCUCCCAUUCUAAUGUGUAAUGGAACCUCAUUGUGGUUUCAAUUUUCCCUUCCCUCAUGGCUAAUGAUAUGCUUUUUUGCCAUCUGUGUAUCCUCUUUGGUGAAAUGUCUCAUGUCUUUUGCCCAUGUUCUAACUGGAUUGUUUUUUUACUGUUGCAUUUUGAGAGUUCUUUAUAUAUUCUAAAUACUAGUCCUUUGUUGGAUAUGUCAUUUGCAAAUAUUUCCUCCCAGUCUGUAGCUUGUCUUUUCAUCCUUCUCACAGGAGGUCUGUCGCAGAGCAGAAGUUUUGAUUCUGAUGAAGUCCAGCUCAUCAAUUUUUCUUUUUAUGGCUCGUGCUUUUGGGAUCAAGUCUAAGAAUUUGUU
ensembl:lncRNA